UUAAGCAUAUCAAUAAGCGGAGGAAAAGAAACCAACAGGGAUUGCCCUAGUAACGGCGAGUGAAGCGGCAACAGCUCAAAUUUGAAAUCUGGCUCUUUUAGAGUCCGAGUUGUAAUUUGCAGAGGGCGCUUUGGCUUUGGCAGCGGUCCAAGUUCCUUGGAACAGGACGUCACAGAGGGUGAGAAUCCCGUACGUGGUCGCUGGCUAUUGCCGUGUAAAGCCCCUUCGACGAGUCGAGUUGUUUGGGAAUGCAGCUCUAAAUGGGAGGUACAUUUCUUCUAAAGCUAAAUAUUGGCCAGAGACCGAUAGCGCACAAGUAGAGUGAUCGAAAGAUGAAAAGCACUUUGGAAAGAGAGUCAAACAGCACGUGAAAUUGUUGAAAGGGAAGCGCUUGCAGCCAGACUUGCUUACAGUUGCUCAUCCGGGUUUUUACCCGGUGCACUCUUCUGUAGGCAGGCCAGCAUCAGUUUGGGCGGUAGGAUAAAGGUCUCUGUCACGUACCUCCUUUCGGGGAGGCCUUAUAGGGGAGACGACAUACUACCAGCCUGGACUGAGGUCCGCGCAUCUGCUAGGAUGCUGGCGUAAUGGCUGUAAGCGGCCCGUCUG
rnacentral:rRNA from 1 species